UACGAAGGGUGCAAACGUUGCUCGGAAUUAUUGGGCGUAAAGCGCACGUAGGCGGCUUUGCAAGUCCCAUGUGAAAUCCCACGGCUCAACCGUGGAAGUGCAUGGGAAACUGCAGAGCUUGAGUACUUAAGAGGAUCGCGGAAUUCCCGGUGUAGAGGUGAAAUUCGUAGAUAUCGGGAGGAACACCAGUGGCGAAGGCGGCGAUCUGGCCCGAUACUGACGCUGAGGCACGAAAGCGUGGGGAGCAAACAGG
rnacentral:rRNA from 1 species